AUUUCAAUUUAUUUGUUUUGGGAAAAACAUUUUCAUCAUCUUCGGACGUUUGGUUGAGGAAAAUAAGUUAAAUCAACGCAAAACAUUUUAUAAGUCAACUGAAAAAGAGAGCGUUUUUCCGUAAAAUGUCUUACUACUUUAAAAUCCGGAAGACAUUUUACGCAACUCAAAUCUCCUUUCUCUCUUUGACUCUUGCUUUCUCGUUUUCUUAUUCGUCUUCGGUUCUCUCUUCGAGAAACAAAAACUCUAGUUUUUUAGAGAAAUAAUCGACAAUGAUGAGAAAUUAACCAAAACGCAAGAUCGAUGAAUUCCUUUCAUAUAUAUUAGAGAUAGGAAGAGAGAGGAACAAAAGAACCAUGGAGAAGGCGAAAGGAGUGAUGGGGGCAGGCCAAAUUUGGGUUGUUGAUUUCUUUGAUAAUUCCACUACUCCUUCAUCGCGUGACAUCUUCAAUUUUUUUGGUUUCACUCGUCUUUCUACUGAUCAGGUUCCCUCUCUUUUUCUAUUUCUUAUAAUAAAUAAAUUCACUUUCAAUUUUGUUAUUAUAUUAGGGCUUCAGCUUCGCCUUUGUAUUUUUUUCAAGAGGAUUUUGUUCUAAGUCAGCAAUAGAAGGAUGCUGAAGCCAAUUGGAACACACAGGUUACUAGUAUAAAAGAAAUGCUUUCUCCAGAAGCAUACAUUUUGGUCUAUUCUAGACGGAGUAUAGUUUUCAAUUGCAAUAGAACAUAUCUCUUGUAAACAAGCCAUCUUAUCUGGAGAGUAUUUUCUCAUGUGCAAUUGAAGCAGUUAUUGCCAAGUUCAAAGAUCCAAAUGUUGUGUAUUUGGUUAAAACAUCAAAUAGAGCUUCUUUAGAUGUAGGUGAACCUGUCAUUCUUCACAUUUCAAACCUGGAAUAAAAGAAAUAGAAAUUGGAAUUGGAA